UUAGCUGCUGUAUUCACCAUGCUGAGGG
rnacentral:piRNA from 1 species